GCCCCUGUAGCUCAGUGGUGGAGCGGUUGCCUCGUAAGCAACAGGUCGUGAGUUCGAUUCUCAUCAGGGGCU
rnacentral:tRNA from 1 species